rnacentral:rRNA from 1 species
AGAGUUUGAUUCUGGCUCAGGACGAACGCUGGCGGCGUGCUUAACACAUGCAAGUCGAACGAGAGGACAAGAGAAGCUUGCUUCUUUUGGAAUCGAGUGGCAAACGGGUGAGUAACACGUAAACAACCUGCCUUCAGGAUGGGGACAACAGACGGAAACGACUGCUAAUACCGAAUACGCUUGGGAGACCGCAUGAUCUACCAAGGAAAGGGUGGCCUCUACCUGUAAGCUAUCGCCUGAAGAGGGGUUUGCGUCUGAUUAGGCAGUUGGUGAGGUAACGGCCCACCAAACCUACGAUCAGUAGCCGGUCUGAGAGGAUGAACGGCCACACUGGAACUGAGACACGGUCCAG